CUUAUCAUCGAGUGGAAUAGCCGGAGAUAUAUCGUAUUACAUAUCAAGUCUCACAUCAAUACAAAUCCUGGACUUAUCAAACAAUAGUUUGACAGGAAGAUGCCGGAUUUUCUAUCAGAGCUACAACACUUGACAGUCCUAAACCUGACAGGAAACAGACUUGAAGGUUCAAUUCCAGUUGGACUCAUGAAAUGAAGAAGAAUGGUCUGAUACUAAGCGUGGACAGGAAUCCAAAACUUUGUCCUGAAGCUUCUUGCACAGAGAAA